UGGGGAAUUUUGGACAAUGGGCGAAAGCCUGAUCCAGCAAUGCCGCGUGUGUGAAGAAGGCCUUCGGGUUGUAAAGCACUUUUGUCCGGAAAGAAAUCCUUGGCUCUAAUACAGUCGGGGGAUGACGGUACCGGAAGAAUAAGCACCGGCUAACUACGUGCCAGCAGCCGCGGUAAUACGUAGGGUGCAAGCGUUAAUCGGAAUUACUGGGCGUAAAGCGUGCGCAGGCGGUUUGCUAAGACCGAUGUGAAAUCCCCGGGCUCAACCUGGGAACUGCAUUGGUGACUGGCAGGCUAGAGUAUGGCAGAGGGGGUAGAAUUCCACGUGUAACAGUGAAAUGCGUAGAGAUGUGGAGGAAUACCGAUGGCGAAGGCAGCCCCUGGGCCAAUACUGACGCUCAUGCACGAAAGCGUGGGGAGCAAAACAGGAUUAGAUACCCUGGUAGUCCACGCCCUAAACGAUGUCAACUAGUUGUUGGGGAUUCAUUUCCUUAGUAACGUAGCUAACGCGUGAAGUUGACCGCCUGGGGAGUACGGUCGCAAGAUUAAAACUUAAAGGAAUUGAC
rnacentral:rRNA from 1 species